rnacentral:rRNA from 1 species
UACGAAGGGGGGCUAGCGUUGCUCGGAAUCACUGGGCGUAAAGGGUGCGUAGGCGGGUUUUAAGUCAGAGGUGAAAUCCUGGAGCUCAACUCCAGAACUGCCUUUGAUACUGAGAAUCUUGAGUAUGGGAGAGGUGAGUGGAACUGCGAGUGUAGAGGUGAAAUUCGUAGAUAUUCGCAAGAACACCAGUGGCGAAGGCGCUCACUGGCCCAUAACUGACGCUGAGGCACGAAAGCGUGGGGAGCAAACAG